rnacentral:rRNA from 1 species
UACGUAGGGUGCGAGCGUUGUCCGGAAUUACUAGGCGUAAAGAGCUCGUAGGUGGGUUUGUCGCGUUGUUCGUGAAAACCGGGGGCUUAACCCUCGGCGUGCGGGCGAUACGGGCAGACUUGAGUACUGCAGGGGAGACUGGAAUUCCUGGUGUAGCGGUGGAAUGCGCAGAUAUCAGGAGGAACACCGGUGGCGAAGGCGGGUCUCUGGGCAGUAACUGACGCUGAGGAGCGAAAGCGUGGGGAGCGAACAGG